rnacentral:rRNA from 1 species
GGGGAUAACGUUUGGAAACGAACGCUAAUACCGCAUAAGACCACACUUCCACAUGGGAGAGGGGUCAAAGGAGCAAUCCGCUGAAAGAUGGGCUCGCGUCCGAUUAGAUAGUUGGGGGGGUAACGGCCCACCAAGUCGACGAUCGGUAGCCGGACUGAGAGGUUGAACGGCCACAUCGGGACUGAGACACGGCCCAGACUCCUACGGGAGGCAGCAGUGAGGGAUAUUGGUCAAUGGGGGAAACCCUGAACCAGCAACGCCGCGUGAGGGAAGACGGUUUUCGGAUUGUAAACCUCUGUCCUCUGUGAAGAUAAUGACGGUAGCAGAGGAGGAAGCUCCGGCUAACUACGUGCCAGCAGCCGCGGUAAUACGUAGGGAGCGAGCGUUGUCCGGAUUUACUGGGUGUAAAGGGUGCGUAGGCGGGUAAGCAAGUCAGAAGUGAAAUCCAUGGGCUUAACCCAUGAACUGCUUUUGAAACUGUUUAUCUUGAGUGAAGUAGAGGUAGGCGGAAUUCCCGGUGUAGCGGUGAAAUGCGUAGAGAUCGGGAGGAACACCAGUGGCGAAGGCGGCCUACUGGGCUUUAACUGACGCUGAAGCACGAAAGCGUGGGUAGCAAACAGGAUUAGAUACCCU